CACGAUAUACUCUGAAGACAGUGAUGUGCAAGUUCAAGGUUUGCCAGUUCAGAUACUUUAAUAAUAAAGAAUGGGUGAAGAAAUUCUCACAUUAUCAUGCUGCCUAAUAGUACAUUUCAGCUGUAACAAAACAAAUUAUCCGAUGAAAGCUUCAACCACGAGAAUCUAGGUAAGGAUGUCAAGUCCAAAGAGAAGGCCAUGUAACAAAUGGUUGCUGAAUUCAUGAAUACUAGCUGGGAUAAUACAGUACUUUUCUACUCAUAUGAACCGUAUCUAAACAUCAUUUGAGGAUCCCUUUCUCAGAAAAAAAUAAUUUGCAUAUUCAAAGACUCUAUAGUUCAUUUUUAUUUGUACGUUGUUUAACAUUCUUCUUGAGAAACUUUCACUCAUAUGGGAAAGCAAACAUUUGUCGGUGGAGAGCUGCAAAUUUUGUCCUUUACUUGGCACACAUGGCUAAUCGAACAAUGAAGGAUCUUUUGGUACUAGCACCUACUGCAAAACAGCACCUCUGUAUAUACAGUCUCAUCUAUGUCUGACGUGGGAUUUUGAACCAGCAAUUUAUGGAUCAACUCCUUACUCAUUACUCUCGAGCAGAUGCUCUUGCCACUGUGCCAAGCAGGUGACUUCAUAGGUUAUAAAAUGAGAAGAUAAGAUUUAUAACUUAAAACUGAUGUAUUUAAUUCAAUCACAGUAUAGAAAAUGUUUGCAAAAAAAGGAGGUAAUAGCUACAUGUAGCUCUCACUGGUAUUGCAUGCAUAAACUAUAUGAAAUACAUAUUGUAAUUUCACAUGUAUUUUAAACCAGAUCAGUAAAGAAAGAAACACUUGAAUAUUUUUACUAUGAAUUUUAUUAUAAGGUUGAUUACCUUUAAAAUAAAUGGAACUUUUUAAAAAAAAAUUGAUUUGGAAAAAAAAAAUAUUUAGAAUGUACAUGUGCACUUGUUCAUUAAAAAUAGUCAAAAUUUGGAGAUCUUGUAAAGGGUAUCUAAAUAUUGAAUUUAUAAAUUUUUACUUCAUUUAUAAACAGCAUAAUUUUUAAUAUAACAUAUACCUGUAAUAUACAACUUAUUUGUUGUUGAAGAUUCCAUUGUCUGUCUACAUGAAGUGCUUAGAAAAUUUCUUGUAAAUAAAAACAUGAUUUUAUGCUGUUUGUUUACUUUGUCCAUUUUUCAAUAUGAGUCAUGAUAUAUAAAUGGUGUGCAUAUCAGUUUAAAUUAUUAUUGUUGAAUUCAGUUAACAGAAAAAAAUUAAUAACUGAUUAUGAUUAUGUAGAUAGUUACCUUCCAGAAAUAUUUACAUGUACUAGUAGCUGCAGAUAUGUAGCUUAUUUGAAAUCAGGUAUUGUGGUAUU